UACGUAGGGUGCAAGCGUUGUCCGGAAUUAUUGGGCGUAAAGAGCUCGUAGGCGGUUUGUCGCGUCUGCUGUGAAAACUCGGGGCUUAACUCCGGGCCUGCAGUGGGUACGGGCAGACUAGAGUGCGGUAGGGGAGACUGGAAUUCCUGGUGUAGCGGUGAAAUGCGCAGAUAUCAGGAGGAACACCGGUGGCGAAGGCGGGUCUCUGGGCAACACUGACGCUGAGGAGCGAAAGCGUGGGGAGCGAACAGG
rnacentral:rRNA from 1 species